UACGGAGGGUGCGAGCGUUGUCCGGAAUCAUUGGGCGUAAAGGGCGCGUAAGUGGCGGGACAAGCGUGCGGUGAAAGCCUGGGGCUCAACCCCGGGUCGGCCGUGCGAACUGUUUUGCUUGAGCACUGUAGAGGCAGGCGGAAUUCCUGGUGUAGCGGUGGAAUGCGCAGAUAUCAGGAGGAACACCGAUGGCGAAGGCAGAUCUCUGGGCCGUAACUGACGCUGAGGAGCGAAAGCGUGGGGAGCGAACAGG
rnacentral:rRNA from 1 species